ACAAGCAGAUCAUUUAAAACAAUUCUAAUGAUUUCUGCCUUCUAUUUCCUUUUUACAGUUUCUUUACCUGAUGCUUGAAGCAGCAUUCAAACUCUAACAGCUCCGGGCUCUUGAACACACCUCCUUGAACACAUCAUAGGGAUGCAUUCAGAGGACCUCACGGAUCACCUGCACCAUUUUGUUCACUGAACCAGCACCUUUUUUCAAGGCACUAAUAUGUGGAACGCUCUGUAUAUAACACUGUGUGUGACUUCUGUAAAAAAAGAGAAAUGUUGGGGAGGAUGGUUAAACACGCACUACAUGCAGGUUGUCACAAUGCUCCAGUUUUGAUAGCUACAUGUAGAGAGUAGGAGUUUUGAUACAUCUUUUUGAUAUUAGAUCGGUAUUUUUCACUGUGGACAUAACGCUGCAUUGCUAAACUCAUGAAGGACGGUGACAUUAUUGUGAACAAGAAGCUGAGGAUCAGUUGAGUGCUCCAUGUUCUCUCCGUCACUGAGGCAAAGUUACAAAACUGAAAAUGGGAUGUCCUUCCUUUUUUUCAAAUUAACACUUUGUUAGAUGUUAGUGUUUUACAGCAGAUUCAAGGACCUCUUCAGAUGCAGACACACAUUCCUAUUUAACCAUUGACAAGAAUGACUCAUUGAAUAACCUGCUUUACAAAAUGAGAGAGUUCUUGUGGUGGCAAUGAAUUGUAAUUGCUCAGUGACAGACAGAGGAUGGAUAGUUGUGGGUACCGAAGAGCUAAAUAUUCUCCUGAAACUUACUUAUAUAGCAUUGAAGGAAAGAAAUUGACUAAAAAUGACUUCAAUUAUUUAACAUAGGGAGUCACCAGUAGAGCAGAAAGGGAUCAGUUAAUUUAUUGAUUAUACUGAUUUUCACAUUUACCUGUGGGUUUUGAACCACUGCUUUUUUUGAUACGGUCUAAAUUAAAGUACUAAAAAUGUGUAACUAAAUGUCAGAUAUCUGAAAAAGGAUAUUAACUGAUUUAAAUCCUUUUCCAAUUUUGGACCAUUUUAUUGGUUGUUGUAUGGUUACUCAUAGACAACAUUUAAAGCUCAAAAUCAUUCUGGCUUUUUCAAGUCUUAUCUCAAUACAACUGAUACUUCUAAGGUGUCUCUAUCGCAGUUAUUGUUGCUCUUUUAUUCCUUCGUUCAAUACUGACCUUCAAAUGAUCCUUUGGUAGCGUAAACAUCCACAGUCCUCACUCCGUGUAAAAACAUGCUGUCCAGAGUUUGAAGCUAAAGCGUGUACAGUUGUUCAACAUUCAAUCAAUCAAAUAGGCAACUUUGAACCAGUAACUGAAUACAUCCCAACUCUGAAAGAAAUGCUGAUGGGCUCAUUUGGACCAGGGUUCUGAAGGUAUUUGAACCAGUUUGGAUAAAAGGAAUGAUUAUAGCAACCUAAAGCUCAACACAUGGUAUAUGGGUAUUAUGGCCUUUAGAAAUAUGAACCUUUUGGAAAAUAUUGGAAAACUUGCUAUUCUCAAAAUGAGCAGUUCAAAAUAACCUGUGUUGGUAUGUUAAGAAAAGGUAGCCUGUCCUAUCCAAUAUAAAGACGACAUUGCAAAUCUUAAGCAGCCUUUCUUCAUGAAACAUGUUUGAUCCAGUAUGACCACGAAGCGUGUGUAACCUCGCUGUCAUCAUUCCAGUGUUUAGCUGUCCAGGUUUCACAGUUCUGUGUAGAGAGCCAAGGGUAAAGUCCUCUCUGUGGUGUGGAUCUGAGCAUUUCUAAUACACUUCAUAUUUUUGAGACGGGCAUUUUGGAACAUUUUCAAUUCUGAUGUAUAGUGUAGCCCAUGAUUGUCUUUCGCUGUGUGUAUUUUUGAUCUGAUCAGUAUACACAAUAAUGAAUGAUCUAAAUCUUUAAAUGUAUUCUGGAUUGCAACUUAAUUUCAAAAUAGAUGAAGAUUUUUCUCAGUGUUCCUUUUGAUGGUUUAGGACGAUUAUUUGCUCAAAGCAUGCAUCACUUGUUUGGUUUUUCGGUAUCUUUUCAGUAUGUCAACAUUGAUAUUGUGGAAGUUGUACACUGAAAACGUGGAAGUGUUAUCUACUUUAAAAGGGAUUAAUAGUGUUUUUGAUACUAAAUAUUUAUUGUACAUUUGGUUUUAUAACAUCUCUGGUGUAUUGGACAGCAAAACCUUCAUUUCUACUGAAGCCGAUGUGUCUCAUGUGUACAUUUCACUCACCACUUCCUGUUCCACUUUACUGAUUGUUUAGAUGAUCACUGAAUUCCCCACAAACGUUGUAAUGUAACUACCUCCUCUCAUCUCCUUGUCUCAUUUCCUGUUGAAAUUGGACUGAUUUUGCCAUCAAGUAAAAUGUAUUAAGGUGACAAAAAAAAA